CAGCUUUCAAUGCCGCUUCAACGUCUCGCAGUGAUCCACGUAUGGCAGCUUGCACAAGACGUACAUUCACAUUUCCCUCGUUUCUCGCCAUUUUGUAAGAAACGCUGCACAUAUGUUGUCGCACCUUGCUCGUGUGCUGUCUGAGUUUGAACUGAAGAAGCAUGAGAAAAAGUUGUCUGGUCACGUGAGCUAUCGUCUUGUCACGUGAGCUGUUGUCUCGUGGAUAGAAUGAGAACGCAAAAGAUGAUGAGUUGUUUUUUCUUUCUUUAGCAUAUUUGUGCAGUAAUUGAUAAAAUCAAGACUUGAAAAUAUCUCUCGCUAAUAUAAAACGCUCUUCUGAAAAAUCUGUAAAAAUAAAAACUCAAUAUUCAUUUUCUAAACUUUUUCGUUCUCAUGUUACCCAUACGCCAACAGCUCACGUGACCAAAAAUUAGCUCACGUGACAAGACGACUUCUACCCAUGAUUCUUCACUUCAAACUCAGAUAGCACGAGCGGAAGGUGUCGACAACAGCGGUUCUAACAAAAUGGCGGUAAUAAUUGAGCCAAAUCUGGACCUAUUGUAUGCUGCCAUGAACGGAUCACUUCGAGGCGUUAAAGAGGCUUUGAAAGCUGGUGCAGACAUUGACUUCGAUAUAAAGAACUCUGAGACCUUCAGCCCUGGGACAGCAUUGUACAUUGCUUCCUACAAGGGGCAUGUUGACAUAGUGAAGCUGCUGCUCCGCAAGGGGGCGUCUGUGUCGAAGAGAACCAGAAGUUCAUUUGCUCCUCUCCAUGGAGCAGCGACCGAAGG